CCCUGCUGGCCACACCUCUUCCGUCAUCACUACAGGUCGCUGAAUUUUACUGAUGCUUCACGGGUCUGGUCACUACUUCUACUCUCUUCCUGUGUGAACACCUGUUGAGAGUAAAGCAGAACUUGAUCCAGGCCGUGGGUCCUCCAACCUUACGCAGCUGGUACCGCUCACUACAGGAGGCCAAAAUAAUCCAAACAACUCUGAUAACAUCACUAUCAUGGUUAGUUAUAAACAGCUUAGUGGCAUUCUGUGCUUCUACUGGUCAACAUCAAAGAAGUGGAAGAACCAAAGUCACAGCACUGGUUUUCGCCCAUUUUGCCGUACCCUUUUUGUGUUCUGACCAGAGCUGACACCCUCCGUCAUCUGACUGGGCAGCAAUUGUACUGAUAGUGAGAAGUCUAAGCUCAGGAUAAAGUCUCACUAAGCUUCAAACUGUGUUUGAUCGGUGGCCUGUUCCUCCGUCUCCAAAGAACUGAAAUGCUGAGAACCCCCCCCCCCCCCAAAAGCACAGAAAUGCCUUUAUCAUCUAGUGCAGUGAGUCAAUAUUUUCACCCACGACUCCACCCCAGUUAUUAUUAAUUUCUGUCAAUUAUUAACCAAAAAAAGGAGGAAAUUUAAUUUUGUGUUCAUCCUCCUCACAGAAAUCUGUCCUCAUCUCUCUUCAUCUUCAGAUCAGAUUUCUCUUCCCGAUGUCCCUCCUGCAGUGACUCCAUGGCCCAACACUGAGAUUAAACCAAUCAAACCCUGAGUCCAUGUGUAAAUGAACCCAAUCACAUGAUGACUCCACCCACCAACCAGCAGCUGAGCAGUCACCUAUCUGUCUGUCAUUCCUGUCAACCAAUCAGCCCGUGAGCUCAACGGGAAGCUCUCGACUGCACAGCACCUCCCACUGUCGAGCGAGGAGCGAGAUCAGCCUCUCUCUGCUGUCGGCUCCCGGGACAAAAAUGCACCCCUGCUGGCCACACCUCCUCUGGGAUGAGCUUCAUUGCCGCUGACGGCAAAGUGGUCCAUGGUGAGGUGGCAGAGGAGGUCGGGGCCGGGCAGGUCGUCAAAAACGAGAGUCAGAGCCUGGGGGUACGUCUGGUAGCCCAGCAGGACCCGGUCCAGGUCGCGGAUCCUCCGGGCCUCACGCAGCUGGGCUGGUGCUGGUACCCGAGUUCUAUCUGGCGUUUUCAGUGGGAGAAACAUCCAAGUGACUUCUUCAGUCGCAGCCAACUGCAGGUUUCCCCAACCAAUAAAUUUGCAUAGUCACUGAAACUAGCACCACUGGUGGGCUGAGAGAUCAGAUUUCUCUUCCCGAUGUCCCUCCUGCAGUGACUCCAUGGCCCAACACUGAGAUUAAACCAAUCAAACCCUGAGUCCAUGUGUAAAUGAACCCAAUCACAUGAUGACUCCACCCACCAACCAGCAGCUGAGCAGUCACCUAUCUGUCUGUCAUUCCUGUCAA